rnacentral:rRNA from 1 species
ACGCUCGACACCUACGGGAGCAGCAGUGGGGAAUAUUGCACAAUGGGGGAAACCCUGAUGCAGCAACGCCGCGUGAAGGAAGACGGUUUUCGGAUUGUAAACUUCUGUUCUUAGUGAAGAUAGUGACGGUAGCUAAGGAGCAAGCCACGGCUAACUACGUGUCAGCAGCCGCGGUAAUCUGAGCGGGCUGGCAAGGC